GCUCUUUCUUCGGUGGCGGCAGACGGGUGAGUAACACGUGGAUAACCUACCUAUAAGACUGGGAUAACUUCUGGAAAC
rnacentral:rRNA from 1 species